CCUACGGGAGACAGCAGUGAGGAAUAUUGGUCAAUGGACGAGAGUCUGAACCAGCCAAGUAGCGUGAAGGAUGACUGCCCUAUGGGUUGUAAACUUCUUUUAUAUGGGAAUAAAACGUUCCACGUGUGGGAUUUUGUAUGUAACAUAUGAAUAAGGAUCGGCUAACUCCGUGCCAGCAGCCGCGGUAAUACGGAGGAUCCGAGCGUUAUCCGGAUUUAUUGGGGUUAAAGGGAGCGUAGGUGGAUUGUUAAGUCAGUUGUGAAAGUUUGCGGCUCAACCGUAAAAUUGCAGUUGAAACUGGCAGUCUUGAGUACAGUAGAGGUGGGCGGAAUGCGUGGUGUAGCGGUGAAAUGCUUAGAUAUCACGAAGAACUCCGAUUGCGAAGGCAGUUCACUGGACUGCAACUGACACUGAGGCUCGAAAGUGUGGGUAUCAAACAGGAUUAGAUACCCCUGUAGUC
rnacentral:rRNA from 1 species